rnacentral:rRNA from 1 species
ACCUAUGGCUAUCGUAAUCUGAAAAAGCUUGAUCUAGCCAGAUCUCAGAAGCUAUUCAGACUCAAGCCUGGCUAGUACUUGUAUGGAAGACCAACUAGUAACCUCAGAUGCUAUAAGCU